CCCUUGAUAGCUCAGUUGGCAGAGCGAUGGACUGUAAUUGCUACCAUUCCAAUUCAGGAAUAUCCACAGGUCGCCGGUUCAAAUCCGGCUCGAGGGA
rfam:Pestalotiopsis fici W106-1 unplaced genomic scaffold PFICI_Scf_4, whole genome shotgun sequence.